UCAACGUAAAAACAUUUUUUUUUUUUUCGUGGCAAAUUAUGCUCCUUCUAUUUUGAUUUAAAUAUAGACUUCUACUCCGAUCGCGGAAGAGAUGCAGGUAUUGAGCUUUUGGAAGAUGUAUAACGCAACAAUGUUAUAAAGUCACGGCAACGAACCAAGAUCUUUUUGAUAGCAUUUUGUGGUUUACGGUUAUAUGAAGAUGGAAUAAUCUGGAUAUAAUCAUUUUUAAUUGAAAUAAAAUAAACUUUGGUACAUAUUUAAUACCAUUAAACGGGAAGACUGAACGGUUAGCUGAACUAAGUAUUCGAUCAAAAUAAUAAACUGAUGUACACUACCUAUAAAACAUUUUUAUGUAUUUAUAUUUAAUAUAAAUAUAGCGCGAAUAUGACCAAUAAUUGGACGUCAAACAUCAAAAUAUUACCAAAUAAGGCGAAAAAUCCAGAAAGAUUAUUAUUGUUAUUCGAGUCUAGUUUUCUACGUCGACGAGGACACCGAAGAAUAAUCGAAUAUUAUAAUAUCGAAUAAUCGAUAGUCGAAAAAUAGAUACUUAUUUUGGUGAAAAUUACAAAUUAUACUUUUGACUACUCACAGUGGUGAAAAUUACACAUCUUUAAUUUGGUGCAAAUCACAAACUCCCUUGUGUACAUGUAGUGUUAUCAUUUUUAUAGUUUUUGUACAUUUUCAAUAGUUACGAUGGUACGAAAAUCAGUACGAAUGUCUCUGUUCGAUCGGUCGGACGGUAGAGAGGAUAAAAUGCUAAAAAAAAAAAAUAUAGUUUAUCGCCACGCACGCGAAGUCCGUAAUGUAUACGAGUAUAUUACAGCGAAUAUAAAUAAUAUGUAAAUAUCCAACGAUAAGGACCGCAUAUAGCAAUGUUUAACGUGCGUUCAGCGAAACGCGUCCGCAGGAAUCGAACAAGUAUAAGAACAUUAUUAUCUAUCUCGUUUCCCCCCCCCCCCACAUCCACCGCCCCUAACGUAAUGUUAUGCAGCACGCUGCACGAAAUGUACGGUAAAAUAUACAAUACGCGCACGAAUAAUGCCACGUACCGUUGUGUUCUGCGGGAGCGACGAAACGAUAUUUACGAUACAGUUCUGACUGGGCCUAAUGAAAUAAAUUCAACGGCAUGGAGGAAAAGAAACCUGAAUUUAAAUCAAAACAAUAUCACACGGAGACAAUACGAAAAUAUUAUAUCGGACGUUCAGGCCGAACAUCAUCACCCCAUUCCGAACGGUCCUAUUGUCGGCGAACUGGUUUUCCCGCCUCUGGCCCCAAAUUGACUCGUAUCGGGGACAUACGCGUAUCCUGGGUACGGGGCAGCCCUGCGAUCGCACCAACCCGUAAUAAUGUAAUUACUGUGCGACCCACCGCGCGUCAAUGUUAAACGAACGAAAACAAAAUAACGAUAAACAAGUCGAAAGAGAGGGACACCGGUGACAGACAGAGAAAUUAUACUACAAUCGACUUCGGAUCCAUUCGGCCGUGUAAUGUAUUUCAUUCGUGGACUUUAUUUUUUUCGAUUUUCACAACCGCUGGCGUGCGAUUCGCGGCCUAAACGUCUGCAUUUCACUGCGUGCGCAUGUUCGCGCGUUCGAAUCAACCGAAUGCUCAAAUCACGGACGCGAGCGAUUUGAUUGCGAACCGCGGACUGAAGAAUGAAUUCGACCGGAAACACACGUUUUUAAAAACACGAUAUUCUCUCUUUUAAAACGAAUAUUGCAUUGAAACUACUCAGAUUUGAUGAAGCGUACGUACUCAUCAAUCAUGUCGUGGUUCUUUUACAAAUCGAACAAUAUUCCGUAAAAUACGAUUGUGUAAACGCCGGGGGAGUAUAAAAUGUUUUCAAAACGACAACAAUUUGUAGUGCGUUGUGCCAGAAAUUAUAUUCAAAAAAAAUGUAUAAAUCAUAAUUUUAUGAUUAAAAUACAAAAUAUUUCAACUUUCUA
rnacentral:lncRNA from 1 species